rnacentral:hammerhead_ribozyme from 1 species
GUACCGCUGAAGAGUCCCAAACUAGGACGAGACAGCUGUCCAGUAC